GGGUUGUGAGGUUAAGCGACUAAGCGUACACGGUGGAUGCCCUGGCAGUCAGAGGCGAUGAAGGGCGUACUAAUCUGCGAUAAGCGCCGGUAAGGUGAUAUGAACCGUUAUAACCGGCGAUACCCGAAUGGGGAAACCCAGUGUGAUUCGUCACACUAUCAUUAACUGAAUCCAUAGGUUAAUGAGGCGAACCGGGGGAACUGAAACAUCUAAGUACCCCGAGGAAAAGAAAUCAACCGAGAUUCCCCCAGUAGCGGCGAGCGAACGGGGAGGAGCCCAGAGCCUGAAUCAGCAUGUGUGUUAGUGGAAGCGUCUGGAAAGGCGCGCGAUACAGGGUGACAGCCCCGUACACAAAAGCGCAUGUGCUGUGAGCUCGAUGAGUAGGGCGGGACACGUGGUAUCCUGUCUGAAUAUGGGGGGACCAUCCUCCAAGGCUAAAUACUCCUGACUGACCGAUAGUGAACCAGUACCGUGAGGGAAAGGCGAAAAGAACCCCGGCGAGGGGAGUGAAAAAGAACCUGAAACCGUGUACGUACAAGCAGUGGGAGCACNNNNNNNNNNNNNNNACUGCGUACCUUUUGUAUAAUGGGUCAGCGACUUAUAUUCUGUAGCAAGGUUAACCGAAUAGGGGAGCCGGAGGGAAACCGAGUCUUAAUUGGGCGUUAAGUUGCAGGGUAUAGACCCGAAACCCGGUGAUCUAGCCAUGGGCAGGUUGAAGGUUGGGUAACACUAACUGGAGGACCGAACCGACUAAUGUUGAAAAAUUAGCGGAUGACCUGUGGCUGGGGGUGAAAGGCCAAUCAAACCGGGAGAUAGCUGGUUCUCCCCGAAAGCUAUUUAGGUAGCGCCUCGUGAAUUCAUCUCCGGGGGUAGAGCACUGUUUCGGCUAGGGGGCCAUCCCGGCUUACCAACCCGAUGCAAACUGCGAAUACCGGAGAAUGUUAUCACGGGAGACACACGGCGGGUGCUAACGUCCGUCGUGAAGAGGGAAACAACCCAGACCGCCAGCUAAGGUCCCAAAGUCAUGGUUAAGUGGGAAACGAUGUGGGAAGGCCCAGACAGCCAGGAUGUUGGCUUAGAAGCAGCCAUCAUUUAAAGAAAGCGUAAUAGCUCACUGGUCGAGUCGGCCUGCGCGGAAGAUGUAACGGGGCUAAACCAUGCACCGAAGCUGCGGCAGCGACACUGUGUGUUGUUGGGUAGGGGAGCGUUCUGUAAGCCUGCGAAGGUGGCCUGUGAGGGUUGCUGGAGGUAUCAGAAGUGCGAAUGCUGACAUAAGUAACGAUAAAGCGGGUGAAAAGCCCGCUCGCCGGAAGACCAAGGGUUCCUGUCCAACGUUAAUCGGGGCAGGGUGAGUCGACCCCUAAGGCGAGGCCGAAAGGCGUAGUCGAUGGGAAACGGGUUAAUAUUCCCGUACUUGGUGUUACUGCGAAGGGGGGACGGAGAAGGCUAUGUUGGCCGGGCGACGGUUGUCCCGGUUUAAGCGUGUAGGUGUGUGUUCCAGGUAAAUCCGGUUCACUUUAACACUGAGGCGUGACGACGAGGCACUACGGUGCUGAAGCAACAAAUGCCCUGCUUCCAGGAAAAGCCUCUAAGCAUCAGGUAACAUCAAAUCGUACCCCAAACCGACACAGGUGGUCAGGUAGAGAAUACCAAGGCGCUUGAGAGAACUCGGGUGAAGGAACUAGGCAAAAUGGUGCCGUAACUUCGGGAGAAGGCACGCUGACACGUAGGUGAAGUGAUUUACUCAUGGAGCUGAAGUCAGUCGAAGAUACCAGCUGGCUGCAACUGUUUAUUAAAAACACAGCACUGUGCAAACACGAAAGUGGACGUAUACGGUGUGACGCCUGCCCGGUGCCGGAAGGUUAAUUGAUGGGGUCAGCGCAAGCGAAGCUCCUGAUCGAAGCCCCGGUAAACGGCGGCCGUAACUAUAACGGUCCUAAGGUAGCGAAAUUCCUUGUCGGGUAAGUUCCGACCUGCACGAAUGGCGUAAUGAUGGCCAGGCUGUCUCCACCCGAGACUCAGUGAAAUUGAACUCGCUGUGAAGAUGCAGUGUACCCGCGGCAAGACGGAAAGACCCCGUGAACCUUUACUAUAGCUUGACACUGAACAUUGAGCCUUGAUGUGUAGGAUAGGUGGGAGGCUUUGAAGUGUGGACGCCAGUCUGCAUGGAGCCGACCUUGAAAUACCACCCUUUAAUGUUUGAUGUUCUAACGUGGACCCGUUACCCGGGUUGCGGACAGUGUCUGGUGGGUAGUUUGACUGGGGCGGUCUCCUCCUAAAGAGUAACGGAGGAGCACGAAGGUUGGCUAAUCCUGGUCGGACAUCAGGAGGUUAGUGCAAUGGCAUAAGCCAGCUUGACUGCGAGCGUGACGGCGCGAGCAGGUGCGAAAGCAGGUCAUAGUGAUCCGGUGGUUCUGAAUGGAAGGGCCAUCGCUCAACGGAUAAAAGGUACUCCGGGGAUAACAGGCUGAUACCGCCCAAGAGUUCAUAUCGACGGCGGUGUUUGGCACCUCGAUGUCGGCUCAUCACAUCCUGGGGCUGAAGUAGGUCCCAAGGGUAUGGCUGUUCGCCAUUUAAAGUGGUACGCGAGCUGGGUUUAGAACGUCGUGAGACAGUUCGGUCCCUAUCUGCCGUGGGCGCUGGAGAACUGAGGGGGGCUGCUCCUAGUACGAGAGGACCGGAGUGGACGCAUCACUGGUGUUCGGGUUGUCAUGCCAAUGGCACUGCCCGGUAGCUAAAUGCGGAAGAGAUAAGUGCUGAAAGCAUCUAAGCACGAAACUUGCCCCGAGAUGAGUUCUCCCUGAGACUUAAAGUCUCCUGAAGGAACGUUGAAGACGACGACGUUGAUAGGCCGGGUGUGUAAGCGCAGCGAUGCGUUGAGCUAACCGGUACUAAUGAACCGUGAGGCUUAACCUUACAACGCCGAAG
rnacentral:rRNA from 1 species